rnacentral:rRNA from 1 species
AGGACGAACGCUGGCGGCGUGCUUAACACAUGCAAGUCGAGCGGGCGUAGCAAUACGUCAGCGGCAGACGGGUGAGUAACGCGUGGGAACGUACCUUUUGGUUCGGAACAACCCAGGGAAACUUGGGCUAAUACCGGAUAAGCCCUUACGGGGAAAGAUUUAUCGCCGAAAGAUCGGCCCGCGUCUGAUUAGCUAGUUGGUGAGGUAAUGGCUCACCAAGGCGACGAUCAGUAGCUGGUCUGAGAGGAUGAUCAGCCACAUUGGGACUGAGACACGGCCCAAACUCCUACGGGAGGCAGCAGUGGGGAAUAUUGGACAAUGGGCGCAAGCCUGAUCCAGCCAUGCCGCGUGAGUGAUGAAGGCCCUAGGGUUGUAAAGCUCUUUCGCACGCGAGGAUGAUGACGCUAGCGUGAGAAGAAGCCCCGGCUAACUUCGCGCCAGCAGCCGC